rnacentral:rRNA from 1 species
UACGGGGGGGGCAAGCGUUGUUCGGAAUUACUGGGCGUAAAGGGCUCGUAGGCGGCCUCCUAAGUCAGACGUGAAAUCCCCCGGCUUAACCUGGGAACUGCGUCUGAUACUGGGAGGCUAGAGUGCGGAAGAGGGAUGCGGAAUUCCAGGUGUAGCGGUGAAAUGCGUAGAUAUCUGGAGGAACACCGGUGGCGAAGGCGGCAUCCUGGACCGACACUGACGCUGAGGCGCGAAAGCUAGGGUAGCAAACGGG